rnacentral:rRNA from 1 species
GAUGAACGCUGGCGGCGUGCCUAAUACAUGCAAGUCGAGCGAACAGACGAGGAGCUUGCUCCUCUGACGUUAGCGGCGGACGGGUGAGUAACACGUGGAUAACCUACCUAUAAGACUGGGAUAACUUCGGGAAACCGGAUCUAAUACCGGAUAAUAUAUUGAACCGCAUGGUUCAAUAGUGAAAGACGGUUUUGCUGUCACUUAUAGAUGGAUCCGCGCCGCAUUAGCUAGUUGGUAAGGUAACGGCUUACCAAGGCAACGAUGCGUAGCCGACCUGAGAGGGUGAUCGGCCACACUGGAACUGAGACACGGUCCAGACUCCUACGGGAGGCAGCAGUAGGGAAUCUUCCGCAAUGGGCGAAAGCCUGACGGAGCAACGCCGCGUGAGUGAUGAAGGUCUUCGGAUCGUAAAACUCUGUUAUUAGGGAAGAACAAAUGUGUAAGUAACCAUGCACGUCUUGACGGUACCUAAUCAGAAAGCCACGGCUAACUACGUG